rnacentral:lncRNA from 1 species
GAUGAUGCAAAUUAAUCAUUAUUCAUUCCAAUAUAUUUGAAGAAAGGAACAUUUGUUCAGAUAAAAUAUAGUAUAUAUUCUCUGCUCCUAUCUAAUUUAUUAUCAAUUUGCCUUCUCAACGACUGUUAUUUUACCAGAAUCCCCACUGAUUGAAUCAUACCUUUGAAACAUGCGAGCUAUAAUUUACUAUGUAAGCUGAUGGAGUUACCAUAAUAUAGCUCUUUUAUGUUUUGACUGGUGGCAAAUGGAACAGGAAAAAUCAAGUACACUAGAUUGCAGUCCAAGAACAAUUUGCAGAAGGCACAUAAUGGCUGGCUCCUACCUCUACAAAUGCAUAUGGGAGGCAUUGCAACAGCGAAUAAGAAUGAUAUUGAUCAACAUGCAGUUGACACCGUAUGUGCUCUGAAUCCGAAUUCAGGUGUGAGUUUCAGAUAUUUUAUGUGCAAAAAAGUAUUAGAGUGCCUUAUGUUUGUAUGUUAGUUAAGCAGAUUAUAGUUAGAACCUGCAGUAGGAUUGAUCAAAAACUACACCUAAUUUUGUAAUAGUCUACUUGCAUAUUUGUAUAUAUUUAAUAAUAAUCUCGUGUCAACUAAUUAUUCUAUUUUUUUAUUUAAUUGUUUUGUUUUCAACAUUUUUUUUAUUUGAGUUGAAAGAAGAAAAACAUGAAUUGUAAUUUUGACUUAGAAAAGAGAAUAUUCAU